GGUAAUCAUGGCGCAUGAGAGGAACUAAAAUACACAAUAAAACAAAAAUCGAAAAAAUCGAAAAUUCUAAAGUGUAAAUUAACCAAUUUCUUUUAAAAAUACAUUGCGCUUGCGCUUUUAAUUGAACAUUUACAUCAAAUCAAUCAAGCUCAAAGUACCUCAAAAAGUAUGUCUCCUCGUUGUGUAAAUACUUAUUACAGGAGUGCUAUUAUCGAGCGUCCAAGACCAUGCAUCUACGACGCCCCUUGCGUGGCACAUUGCUACAACACCGACCCGUGUUUGCGACCACGGGUUUGUUAUGACCCGAUGUUCCCCGGAUACGCCUGUCCGACUGUGCCCGCCUGCUACCCGCCGUGCUGUCAGAACCCAGUCAGAACACUCCCAUGCUAGAACCCGUCAGAGUACCAGAACCCUACCACACUAGAGAUGACCACGCCUGCCUGACUGCCCAGUCAAAACACUUACUUGAUCCUUACUUAAUCCACGUCAGAACCAUAAGUUGCGGCAGAAUUAAGUCAGAACAAUAGCAUGCUAGAACGCAGCUGAAUGUGCCCACCUGUUACAUGCCGUGUCAGAACCUAUUCAGAACCCUUCCCCGCUAGAUUAAAUCCACGUCAGAACUAUCAGGUAUUCGUUGCAGGAUGCAGCCAGAAAUAAGUCAGAACAAUAGCAUGCUAGAAUGCAGUUGGCUGUGCCCGCCUUUUAUAUGCCGUGUCAGAACUUAUUCAGAACCCUUCCCCGCUAGAUCAAAUCCACUUCAGAACCAUUGGGCAUUCAUCGCAGUCAGAAAUCAGAAUGCAUCUUACAUAAUAAAGAAAUCUGUACAUA